rnacentral:lncRNA from 12 species
UGUGUUUGAUUUGGGGUGUCCAUGCUGGGGCAGCUUUUCAUCCUCUGAGCAGGAUGCAACUGAAGUCACAGGGUUAACCCAGACCUGACGCCAGUAUGGGAGGGGGCUGUUCUCUGCAGCCAAAGCCUCUCCCAGUGGAUCUGCUCUGCACCCCUCCCUCUCUCAGGUAUGCAGCUAUAACAAUGUGACCACAUCAUGAAUAAAUUGUUUCAAUAUUUCAUUUCAGUCUACAGAGGACUACGUGAGCAGAGUGCGCACUAAA